rnacentral:rRNA from 1 species
GUGCCAGCAGCCGCGGUAAUACGUAGGUGGCAAGCGUUGUCCGGAAUUAUUGGGCGUAAAGCGCGCGCAGGCGGUCCCUUAAGUCUGAUGUGAAAGCCCCCGGCUUAACCGGGGAGGGUCAUUGGAAACUGGGGGACUUGAGUGCAGAAGAGAAGAGCGGAAUUCCACGUGUAGCGGUGAAAUGCGUAGAGAUGUGGAGGAACACCAGUGGCGAAGGCGGCUCUUUGGUCUGUAACUGACGCUGAGGCGCGAAAGCGUGGGGAGCAAACAGGAUUAGAUACCCUGGUAGUCCACGCCGUAAACGAUGAGUGCUAAGUGUUAGAGGGUUUCCGCCCUUUAGUGCUGCAGCUAACGCAUUAAGCACUCCGCCUGGGGAGUACGGCCGCAAGGCUGAAACUCAAAGAAAUUGACGG